UGACCCGACCCGUAAUCUGCUAGUGACAAAAAGAGAUGCAAAAUACCCACAAGAUUACACCCAAUACUCUACUUCACCUAAUUAUCUAUUAACCCCUUCAUAAAAAUCCAAUCUUUUUUCACUUCAACCAUGUAAUUUCAACUCUCAAGAUUCUUAUUACUAUUAUAUUUCUUUAUUUCAUUUGUUGAUGUUGAUCUGCUUUCUUCUUACUGUUGUUUGCUAAUGGCUUCCAUUCUUUCAUUAAUUGGAAGAAAACAGAGUGUGGGUCUCCGAUUUUGGCCCCUUUAGGUCAAGAUUGUGUAUCUUUGUUGUACAAUUUUGUAUGUAUAUUAAAAGAUAGUAAAAGGGGUGUAAUUAUAUAUAAUUAUAUAUAUAUAUAUAUAAAAUUGUGUAAAAACCCAUCUGAUAAUUUGUGGGUUUGGUAUGGGUGGGUGUUUCCCAUGCUUUGGGUCAUCAAAGAAAGAUGGAAAUGGUGUGAAAGAAGUGGUGAAGAAUGAUAGUGUGAAAGAGGGUUCAGCUGCUCAUCAAUCUCAUCAUGUUAGUAGGGUUAGUUCAGGAAAAUCGAAAUCUCGUGUUAGUUUGGAUCCUAAGAAAGACCAGACGGUUGCAAAAGAUGGACAGCCUGCAAACAUUGCAGCGCAGACGUUUACGUUUCGUGAGCUUGCUGCUGCAACCAAUAAUUUUAGGCCUGAAUCUUUGCUAGGAGAAGGUGGUUUUGGGCGCGUCUACAAAGGUCGUUUGGAAAGCACGGGACAGGUAGUUGCAGUUAAGCAACUUGAUAGAAACGGUCUUCAAGGGAAUAGAGAGUUUUUGGUGGAGGUUUUGAUGCUAAGCCUCUUACAUCACCCGAAUCUAGUCAAUUUAAUAGGAUACUGUGCAGAUGGAGACCAACGCCUUCUUGUUUACGAGUUUAUGCCUUUGGGAUCACUCGAGGACCAUUUACACGAUCUUGCACCAGAUAAAGAACCGUUGGACUGGAACACAAGGAUGAAAAUAGCCGCAGGUGCAGCCAAGGGUUUGGAAUAUUUACACGACAAAGCAAACCCUCCGGUCAUAUACCGAGACUUAAAAUCAUCCAACAUUCUUCUCGGCGAAGGAUACCACCCUAAACUCUCUGAUUUCGGGCUUGCAAAACUGGGACCCGUAGGUGAUAAAACACACGUUUCCACCAGAGUUAUGGGUACAUACGGCUACUGUGCUCCUGAAUACGCCAUGACCGGUCAACUCACUUUGAAGUCCGAUGUCUACAGUUUUGGUGUCGUUUUUCUUGAACUUAUUACGGGACGCAAAGCCAUUGAUAAUACCCGUGCUCCUGGAGAACAUAAUCUUGUUGCUUGGGCCCGGCCACUUUUCAAAGACAGGCGAAAAUUCCCGAAAAUGGCCGAUCCAUUAUUGCAAGGUCGUUAUCCAGUACGAGGGCUUUACCAAGCACUUGCGGUAGCAGCAAUGUGUUUACAAGAACAAGCCGCCACACGGCCUCUAAUAGGUGACGUCGUGACCGCUUUAACCUACUUAGCCUCACAACCCUACGACCCGGAAGCAGCCCGAGCCGAGCGAGCCAGCCGAGGCAGCGGGUCAGGCACGCCCAGGAACCGAGCAGACCGCAGAAACCCUAGCGACGGUGGUCUCGACAGCCUCGAAGACUCCAUGCGCGAGCCACGCCCACACGGGUCCCCUUCCACUUACAAAAACUCCCCCGAUUACCAAAGAAUAAACACUCGUUCUGAUGUCGACGGUGAAAGUAGUAAUGCAGGUGGCGGGUCGGGUCGGAAGUGGGGGUUGGUGGAUGACGCGGAUUCUCAAAAGAAUAGUCCGGCGAAUACGAGUCGGGCUAGGAACCGGGACCUUGAUCGGGAACGGGCUGUGGCGGAAGCGAAAGUUUGGGGGGAGAAUUGGAGAGACAGAAAGAGGACGAACACGAUGGGUGGUGGUAGUUUCGAUGCUGCUACAAACGUGUGAUAUGUGUUGUGUUUCAUGAGCGAAUAAGAGUCGUUUUUGAUGAUGGUUCUGGUAUGUUGGUUUUUUUCGGCGGAUAAAGAAGAGGGGGAAGUGCAGUUGAGUUGAGUUGAGAGGGGUGAUGGAUGGAUGAUGACUUUUGUAAAGAAAUUGAUAUUUGGUUUGACUUGGUAUUGAAUUGAACUCAUGUAUUUAAACAUAUGCCUGUUGUAUCUUCUGCUGAUGAUGUAGCUAAUAUUCUUCUUGUGUCAUGUGAUGGGCUCAUGUGUUUGUUUUAUAUAGAAAGGAUAUUAUUUUUUGACACAAAAUGUAAUGUAUGUUUAGGUCUCUUUAUGUUCCUAAUUUAUGUAUUCCUUGCUAACAUAUAAAGAAUAAUUUUCGCUGGUUGAA